AACGAACGCUGGCGGCAGGCUUAACACAUGCAAGUCGAGCGCUCGCGAGCAAUCGCGGGAGCGGCAGACGGGUGAGUAACGCGUGGGAACGUACCCUCCGGUUCGGAAUAACUCAGGGAAACUUGAGCUAAUGCCGGAUACGGCUGAGAGGCGAAAGAUUCAUCGCCGGGGGAUCGGCCCGCGUCCGAUUAGCUAGUUGGUGGGGUAACGGCUCACCAAGGCGACGAUCGGUAGCUGGUCUGAGAGGAUGAUCAGCCACAUUGGGACUGAGACACGGCCCAAACUCCUACGGGAGGCAGCAGUGGGGAAUAUUGGACAAUGGGCGCAAGCCUGAUCCAGCCAUGCCGCGUGAGUGAUGACGGCCUUAAGGUUGUAAAGCUCUUUCGCCAGGGACGAUAAUGACGGUACCUGGAUAAGAAAGCCCGGCUAACUUCGUGCCAGCAGCCGCGGUAAUACGAAAGGGGCUAGCGUUGUUCGGGAUUACUGGGCGUAAAGCGCGUGUAGGCGGGGUGUUAAGUCAGGGGUGGAAUGCCGAGGCUCAACUUUCGAACUGCCUUUGAUACUGGCUAUCUUUGAGUCGGGGAGAGGUGAGUGGAACUGCGAAUGUAAAGGUGAAUUCGUAGAUAUUCGCAGAACACAGUGGCGAAGGGGGUCACUGGCCGGGACUGACGCUGAAAGCCAAAGCGGGGGGAGCAACAGGAUAAAUACCCUGGUAGUCACGCCUGAAACAAUGGAUGCUAUCCGUUGGGGAGCCUGCUUCUCAAUGGCGCCGCUACGCAUUAAGCAUCCCCCCUGGGGAGUAGGCGCCAGAUUAAAAUCAAAGGAAUGACGGGGGGCCGCCAACCGGGGGACUGUUGUUUU
rnacentral:rRNA from 1 species